UACAGAGGGUGCAAGCGUUAAUCGGAAUUACUGGGCGUAAAGCGUGUGUAGGUGGUUGGAUAAGUUAGAUGUGAAAUCCCCGGGCUUAACCUGGGAAUUGCGUUUAAAACUGUUUGACUAGAGUAUUGUAGAGGAUAGUGGAAUUUCCAGUGUAGCGGUGAAAUGCGUAGAUAUUGGAAGGAACACCAGUGGCGAAGGCGACUAUCUGGGCAGAUACUGACACUGAGACACGAGAGCAUGGGGAGCAAACAGG
rnacentral:rRNA from 1 species